rnacentral:lncRNA from 1 species
CUGAGACCAGGUGCUGUUCAUCAAGCCCAAAGCCUGACAAGCAUUUCUCAGAUCACAGCGUGGCCUGAAAAAGGCAGAGGAACAGGCAUGCAAUGCCACAAAACUCCAGGGAACUCUCAGAUUAACACUUUUUGCACUGCUGUGGGAGCCCAGGUGUUCAGAACCCUCUGAGAGGUUGAGCUGCCUGUGCUCAUGGCCUACCCUGACACAGUGCUGGCAUGCAACAUUCAAUUGGAGCGCCGCAGACAGAGGAAUCUCAUUGCUGGUUUCAGCUGGAACAUUGCACUGGCCUGACCUUCCUGGGAUUGUAUUUUUGAUAGUUAUAGUCAGAAAUUGUACUGGGAUAAAAGAAAGUCUGAAAUCUCUGUUGGGUAGCUGCCCAGAUGAAAACAAAUAAACAAACAAUCACCUUCAUUUUGUUGACAAUAAACAUUUUUUAAUUUAAAUAAUAAUUCCCA